UGCCUAUACAUGCAGUCGAACGAACUUCCGUUAAUUGAUUAUGACGUACUUGUACUGAUUGAGAUUUUAACACGAAGUGAGUGGCGAACGGGUGAGUAACACGUGGGUAACCUGCCCAGAAGUAGGGGAUAACACCUGGAAACAGAUGCUAAUACCGUAUAACAGAGAAAACCGCAUGGUUUUCUUUUAAAAGAUGGCUCUGCUAUCACUUCUGGAUGGACCCGCGGCGUAUUAGCUAGUUGGUGAGGUAAAGGCUCACCAAGGCAGUGAUACGUAGCCGACCUGAGAGGGUAAUCGGCCACAUUGGGACUGAGACACGGCCCAGACUCCUACGGGAGGCAGCAGUAGGGAAUCUUCCACAAUGGACGCAAGUCUGAUGGAGCAACGCCGCGUGAGUGAAGAAGGGUUUCGGCUCGUAAAGCUCUGUUGUUAAAGAAGAACGUGGGUAAGAGUAACUGUUUACCCAGUGACGGUAUUUAACCAGAAAGCCACGGCUAACUACGUGCCAGCAGCCGCGGUAAUACGUAGGUGGCAAGCGUUAUCCGGAUUUAUUGGGCGUAAAGCGAGCGCAGGCGGUCUUUUAAGUCUAAUGUGAAAGCCUUCGGCUCAACCGAAGAAGUGCAUUGGAAACUGGGAGACUUGAGUGCAGAAGAGGACAGUGGAACUCCAUGUGUAGCGGUGAAAUGCGUAGAUAUAUGGAAGAACACCAGUGGCGAAGGCGGCUGUCUGGUCUGCAACUGACGCUGAGGCUCGAAAGCAUGGGUAGCGAACAGGAUUAGAUACCCUGGUAGUCCAUGCCGUAAACGAUGAUUACUAAGUGUUGGAAGGGUUUCCGCCCUUCAGUGCUGCAGCUAACGCAUUAAGUAAUCCGCCUGGGGGAGUACGACCGCAAGGUUGAAACUCAAAAGAAUUGACGGGGGCCCGCACAAGCGGUGGAAGCAUGGUGGUUUAAUUCGAAGCUACGCGAAGAACCUUACCAGGUCUUGACAUCUUCUGACAGUCUAAGAAGAUUAGAGGUUCCCUUCGGGGACAGAAUGACAGGUGGGGGCAAGGGUUGUCGUCAGCUCCUGUCCUGAGAAAGUUUGGGGUUAAGUCCCCGCAACGAAGGGCAACCCUUUAUUACUAGGUUGCCAGCCAUUAAAGUUGGGGCCUCCUAUUGGAGACUGGCCGGUGACAAACCCGGAAGAAAAGGGGGGGACAACACUUCAAAUAAUCAUGGCCCC
rnacentral:rRNA from 1 species